UCUCUCUCGCCUGAUACCCAGAACUAUAAAGGGGCUCGCAGAUAACCAGCUCCUUGAAUACCACAUUCGGUGCCUGUGCAUCUACAGCUUUCUUUGUUGUCUCCUAUUUCCGUCUAUUCGCUUCGUGCAUGCACGAACAGAUGGCGGUUUAAUUGACCUAUCUUAUUCCCUCCAGUUUUGCCACCCAUAUCAAGGGGAAUAUCAUCUAUGGCUUCCAUUUGGAAGCGACUGACACUCAGCCCUGAAGGUCGAUUUGGUGAAGACGCGUCCAGAACGCAGCCCUCCUCGCUGAGGUCGCGACGUGUUAAAAAUGACCUCCAUCGUCGUCGAAGCUUAGCUGGCCUCUUUACUACUUCGUCUCCGUCAAAGGAACCGUAAGUGUCCCCUCAGACAUCAUCUCGAUGUCUCCUUCUGAUGUCUGGCUCGCAGGGACCAAGACAUAACCACCAUUACAUGCCA
rnacentral:sRNA from 2 species